GGGGACAGAAGAGAAGGCUGGCGCCACUCGUAUGCCCUGGAGAAACAGUGAGAUGAAGAGCACAGCCUCUAGAGCCAGAGUGUCUGGAUCUAAAAUUGGCUCUGCCAACAAGCAUAAUUGAAAAUUAAGAAUGCCAUGGAAAGCAAGGUGAAAAAGGCAGGGGUGUACACAUCAAUCCCAGAUCCAGGGAGCCAACAUCUUUAAGUAGACUUCUUCAGAUGGCCCAUGGGGUACCACAGAGCUUACAGAACAACUUAAGAUCACUCCAAACCAGGUAACAUUUCAAUAAAUACAUGGAUUUAAGGCCAAUAGAACCUGGCUUAGCACCUUGCUGAUCCUCAUUCUUACCAGAACUCCCGUCUAACCCCAGGUAACUUCACAAGCUGUUAGAAACCAUCCUUCAAAGAUCUGCCUCUUUCCUUCUGCAUGGCAGCUGGAGACUCCUGCUUGGUCCUAAUCAGUGCAGGAUCAACAACAGAAAUCCGCAAAUAGUCAAAGACAUCCCUGCCACGCAGCACAUAG
rnacentral:lncRNA from 1 species